rnacentral:rRNA from 1 species
GACGUAGGGGACGAGCGUUGUCCGGAUUCAUUGGGCGUAAAGCGCGCGUAGGCGGUUUGGCAAGUCGGAUGUGAAAACCAGAGGCUCAACCUCUGGCCUGCAUCCGAAACUGCCCGACUAGAGGUAGGUAGGGGAGAUCGGAAUUCCUGGUGUAGCGGUGAAAUGCGCAGAUAUCAGGAAGAACACCCGUGGCGAAAGCGGCUCUCUGGAACGGUACUGACGCUGAGACGCGAAAGCGUGGGGAGCGAACAGG